rnacentral:lncRNA from 1 species
UCUUCUCUUGUGCCAUUCAUGAUCAAUGAUCUUUACCAUCAUCACCAACUCUACAAUUAACUUCCUCUCUUCCUAUUCCUUGCCACAAAUGAUGUUCACCAUCAUUCUUGUUAGCUCCACGAUCAUCUUCCUCUCUUUUGGCCAUUUCAACCUAUGAUUUUUACUACUUAUCACCGACUUUACAAUUCUUUUUCUCUCUCAUCAUCCACUAUAACCAACGAUCUUUUCCACCAUCAUCAGCUCCACAAUCCUCUUCCUCUCUUCUAUUCAUUGCUGCCAAUUAUCUUCACCACCAUAACUGGCUCUCCAUUUUUUUUCUUUCUCUCCCCACAUUGCCUUGGGUGUCAUAUUUGUCAUCUUCACCAUUCAAAAAUAAAGAAAUAGAAGCAAAUGAGAAUCACAUUUCUUUCUUCUUUUCAUAAUAGAUUUUAUGGUUGCCAUUGCACCACCAUAGUUACUAUUCACUGGGAAAGAGGAAGAGGAGGAUAAGAAUUAGGUAGCCACCACCAUCUUUUAUCUUCAAAAAUAGAAAGGAGG